UGCAGAAUUCGCCCUUAGUGCCAGCAGACGCGGUCAGACCUGCAGGCUUUUCUUAAUUAGCUAUUGGUAGAAGAGUAAUAAUAAAAUUUUAAAAUGAGUUAAGAAGUUGAUAAAAGUAGUAAAAUACCGUAUAAAUAAAUUCUAUAAAUUCUUUAUAUAUUAGAAUGACGAAAUCCCUGAGAGGAAAUAGGAUUAGAGACCCUAGUACCUUAGGUCCUAAAUUAGUUUAAAUCUUAGAUUUUUAAUCACCUGAUAAGUACGGCUUAGUAGCUAAAACUCAAAUAACUUGGCUGCUUGGUAAACCAGUUAGAGGAGUCUGUACCUUAAUUCGAUACUCCACGUUUUAUCUUACCUAAACUUGAUUAUUCAGGGACUGCAUGGUCGUUGUCAGAAUAUUAAUAAUUAUUAAUCUUCUUAAACUUUUAAAGUAGACAAUAGAUAUUAUGGUCUUUAUGUUUAGGGGUAGUAUGUACUACAAUUAAUAGUUUUAUAAUUUAAAUCGGAUAGCAGGUUGAAACUCCUAGCUUAAAGUUGAAUUUAACAGUAAUUAGUAAUUAGUAUAUACUAAUGAACAGGUUAGACCAUAAGUACAAAUUGCCCGUCACCUUCUUCCUAUUUUAGCUUUUUUGCUUAAGUAAAAGAUUCUAAGUCAGAGAGGAAGUAAGUCGUAACAUAGUGAGGGGAGGGGAACCUCUCCUUG
rnacentral:rRNA from 1 species